GACGAACGCUGGCGGCGUGCCUAAUACAUGCAAGUCGAACGAACCGCGACUAAGUGCUUGCACUAAGUCAAGGUGAGUGGCGAACGGGUGAGUAACACGUGGGUAACCUACCUCAUAGUGGGGGAUAACAGUCGGAAACGACUGCUAAUACCGCAUAGGACAUAGGAUCACAUGAUCCAGUGAGGAAAGGUGGCGCAAGCUAUCGCUAAGAGACGGACCCGCGGUGCAUUAGCUAGUUGGUAGGGUAAAGUCCUACCAAGGCGAUGAUGCAUAGCCGACCUGAGAGGGUGAUCGGCCACAUUGGGACUGAGACACGGCCCAGACUCCUACGGGAGGCAGCAGUGGGGAAUCUUGGGCAAUGGACGCAAGUCUGACGCAGCGACGCCGCGUGAGUGAAGAAGGUCUUCGGGUCGUAAAGCGCUGUUGUUAGGGAAGAACAGCGCAUAGAGUAACUGGUAUGCGUGUGACGGUAUCGGAACAGAAAGCACCGGCUAACUACGUG
rnacentral:rRNA from 1 species